UUUUUUUUUAGUUUUUGCU
rnacentral:sRNA from 1 species